GGGUGGAUAUGCAGCAUACAGAUAUACUCAGCCUGCAACAGCUACAGCGUACAGCGACAGUUAUGGGAGAGUCUAUGCAACUACUGACCCAUAUCACCACAGCAUCGGCCCGGCAGCUACUUACAGCGUGGGGACCAUGUAAAUACAGCAGAAGAAAAAAUCUAUAAGAGACAGCGAGAUCUGUACUGAGCACUUCAGGAAAGCAAGGACCAUCAUGAGAAAAGCAAAUCUAGAGAAAACCGGAGGAGAAUGAAGAAAAGUGACAGCGGAGAACAUAAAGGACAAGAAUACAAACAGAUGGAAGAGAAAGAAAACACAUUCAGAAACAUUUUAUUUUUCUAUAUGUUAGCGUUCAUGGAUGGAGCAGAGACGGACAGUUAACUGACGCUGAUAUGACUGUGAUAUGAUCCUCAUGCUAUGGCCCCGCCCACAGCAUCAUCCACCAAUCAGAAGCGAUAUAUGACAGAGGAGGAGCAAAAACAAGCCGAAGGCUUCAUGACUAAUGUGUUUCCUGUGGGUGGAGUCGUCGUGCGUGCUGUGAUUGGUCGCUUCGCAGCACUUCCCAGAAAGGACAUCACUAGCCACAUGGGCUCCAGUCUCAUUGGACAUCCAUUCACUCGCUUCUUGUGGAGACAUGCCGUCAGACCACUUACAGAAUUCGAUUCAUCCUGUGUGGGUGAAGCCACUCAUUCACUUCCUGUUGCUGAUGUCAUAACUCAGCUGAUUGGCCACACUGCUGACCAACUUCCUGUGGUGUUCCUGGUUAGGACUCUGAAACUAAAGAUGUCAACUACUGAUCAAUGUUGUCUGGCGGUGGAGUAUGAGGGUGUUGGUUCAGAGGGGGCGGAGCAAAAUCUCUAGUUAAGAUUUACGGUUUAUAUAAGAUUGAUUUUAUGGACAGUUUACAUUGAUAUUCAUUCUUGUGCUCUUGUUUCAUUAAGAAUUUUAUUAAAGCGCAGCGCAGAAUGCCUCCUCUGCCAAGUUGCCAUCAAAUAAAAAAGUUGCCAACUUGCUUCUGUAAACAAAAACUCGUAAUGCUUGCCCCGCCUCCGGGGUCUUUUGAUUGGUCCAAUAUUUUGAGCAGUGCUGCGUGUAAAACUUAAAAUAAUUUUAAC